rnacentral:rRNA from 1 species
UACGAGGGGGGCAAAUGUUGUUCGGAAUCACUGGGCGUAAAGGGCGCGUAGGCGGGCUUCUAAGUUAGAUGUUUAAUCCCGGGGCCCAACCCCGGACAGGCACCUAAAACUGGAAGUCUUGAAUAGUGGAGAGGACGGCGGAAUUGGGGGUGUAGCGGUGGAAUGCGUAGAGAUCCCCAAGAACACCAGUUGCGAAGGCGGCCGUCUGGACACAUAUUGACGCUGAGGCUCGAAAGCAUGGCGAGCAAACAGG